AGUAUAGUGCCAUUGUUUUCAGGAAGGUGUAUCCAUGGUGAUAGGAGGGACAGGAGGCAGACUAAGGGCAUGGCCGCCACCUGAAGACAAUAAGGCUUUGGUCAAAAGAAGUGCACUACAUAGGUAAUAUGGUGCCAUUUGGGACGUAUCCCAUGUCUCUUCCACCUCAGAGAGUUCAAGGCCGACUGGCCUGUACUCUGCAGGUCUCCCUCCACGAAGGGGUCUCCUCCUUCCCUGGGGAAUGGAGUUCGUAGAAAGCUCCUGGAUGACUUGAUCGAUGUUACUGCACUCGAUCCUACCAAACAACCAUGGAGAUGUCACUCGCCGUGGAAGUCGAAAACAGCUACCACUGGCAACAGGGGCCUCCUUGGCGAAGGUUUGCUUGGACCGGACACAGACUAGAAACAGCUUUGCCACCUUUGGUCCAGAAAUUUCCGGCACCUUCUUCCCAGGGAUCCUUAAUAAAUACAAAUAGUCAAAAAGCUUUGACCUUUUUUUAUACCAAAAUGCAAUUGACCACUUGGCUAUCUAUUGUAUCACCCUGUCACAGGCCGUCCCAGUCAACACCACCUCAUAAGAUGAGGAAGUACAUUGUUUAUGAAUAUUACCUGCUGCAGUUGUCCGAGAGAUGUCUAGUUUGCAGCCGAACAUGCAACAUCGAGAAGACCAGCAAGGGGACACACAGACAUGCCCUUGCUGUGAGCAUUCCUAUCAAUCGAACAGCGAGGACAUAAAUAUCAGGUCAAAGGUCAAAACAGUUUAGACUAUUGUCCCAAUUCACCUUCAUAUCCUAGCCUAGUGGAACCAGCCUGAGUUUACCAUUUCACUUCACAUAACAUACAAUUCUGAAGUGAAAUAGAAAGGUGAAUGCAGCCUUUAGGUUGAUCCUGCAAUGCUAAUCAUAACCACCAUUGAUAAUGUAAUCCGUGCUCUGUGUUUUUGUGUGACUGACCAGUGUCUUUGAUGAGCCUCCAGGAGCUGAUCUACGCUGCCAUGCCAUCAAUGGGACGCUGUCCAAGAACUCACCUCCAGCCUGCUCAUCAACAGUCAUCAAUGGGGAGACCAGAAUUAGAUGCAUUUAUGGACGCAGCACUUGGAGACUUGCAAGAGGAUGUGAUAGAGUCCUGACCGACAGACAGUCUUGAAUCUGACCUCUCUGAAUGGAGAGAGACCUGGCACUCAACACAUCUACCAUGUGGGACUGAAGGUUAUUACUGAUAAUACAGUACAGCAGAAAUGUCCAGUAUUUGCUACACCCUUUUCAUUCCAUGUGUCACUGAUGAACUCUGCCUCAACUCCAGUGGUUUAAAGUACUUAAGUAACAAUACUUUAAAGUACUAGUUAAGUCGUUUUUUGGGGGUAUCUGUACUUUACUAUUUAUAUUUUUUUACAACUUUUACCUCACUACAUUCCUAAAGAAAAUAAUGUACUUUUUACUCCAUACAUUUUCCUUGACACCCAAAAGUACUCGUUACAUUUAGUAUUGUCCAAUUGGCACACGUAUCAAGAGAACACGUGGUCAUCCCUACUGCCUCUGAUCUGGCUGACUCACUAAACACAAAUGCAUCAUUUGUAAGUGAUGUCUGGGUGUUGGAGUGUGCCCCUGGCUGUCAGUAAAAUGUAAAAACAAGUGUAUUUUUAUGUAUUUUUUAUAUGUGGCCAGUGAUAACAUUGUUGCACUGAUGUAUCAAAUGGUUGCACAGGACAGACUGUGAUGAGCACAGUGAAAAAGAAGCUCAAAAAGAACAACCCUUACAAAAAUGGAAAUCACUUACAAACUACUUGAGCAACGAGGCAGGCAAUGUCAUGAUGUAAAGAUGCACAGGCAACACGGCGUUUGUUGUUGAAUUUAUACAUUUAAUUUAAAUACGAGUUUCUGUAUUAUAUUUUUCAUUCAGCUACAUGUAGCCUAUAUUGAAGUAUUGUUUACAGUUGUCACUAUGACAACGAACAUACCCUAAAGCACUGAACCGUCUGUCUUGCCACCUCAUUAACAGGUCUACAGCGGUGCAAUAGGAUGCGUUGAUCAGUUGAUUGACAGGUGUAGGCUACUGUAGAACAAUAAACUUUCCUCUAGUAUGGAUGCUCGCCAACGUUUUAUAGUUAUGUAAAAUGUAUCAUUAUAGUUGUCGUCCUUGGUGUGGACAGCCCUUAACGUUUAAAUUGGUAAAUGCCUCCCUCUAGUGGUCAACAUGAAUAUGGUAUGAAUAGAGCAGUGGUUCUAAACCACGGGUUGAUUUGACAGAAAUCACGAGUUAAACACUGAUAGCCGGCUAAAAAGAAGGGAUGUAAUAUUCCCUGCUAUUUUGUUUUAAUUAUCAUUUUGGAGGGGGAGUGUUACAUGUGUUUUUAAACGCUCGGGGAGGGCCAGGUAAAAAUAUAUUUCUUCAGGGGGAGGGACAUCCAUUUCAUUUCAGAGGUUCAAAUACCUCCAUGCAGGGGCGAAAAUCUGAUAUCCACUUUGGAGGGGACAAUUACAUGAAAUUUUCUCAAGAGCAAUUCCUGAGGGGGACACCAAAAGUAGUGCUGUAACACAUAGCCUACAUUGUAAUAUGGUAAAUGUAUAUUGAGGAACCAAAGAAAUAAGGUGUUUGCCGUACUCCUAACUACCGGUACCCAAAACUACACAACUAAUCACAACAGCAAUACCAUUGCC